CAUCCACACAAAAGCACAGAAGAAUAAAAGCCAAUGAGUAAGGAGUGGCAAGAAGAAGUCCUACUUUCUGUUUUCCAUAAGGAUUUGAGAAGACACACAACAUACACUUAAAAUAAAAAUUAUUAAGUUACUUGCAAAAAACUCUUUUAAAAAGAUGUACUAUGUGCUCUAAGGAUAACCUGCACGGUCUUCUGCUUCUCUUGAUCCUUCAGAUUAAACAAUAAUUAACACCUUACCUUCUUUUUCCUCUGGCAGCUUUAUUAAGUACUGAAGAAUAUUCAUCAAGCUUUGUAUCUGAUGUUGGACACUGAAUUCAGAACACACUGAAAUCCAAAACUCAGUGUCUGCCUCUAAAAUAGCAUCCUGUAUAGAGAAGAGAAAUAGGCAGCCACCAGCACUGUUUUAGUGACAUACUGUUCAAAAAGCAGGAGGAGGAGAACCCAGAGGAAUCUUUCUGCACCUAACGUAUCGACAAGCUGAGCAAGGAUGGGGAGGCGCCUGUGCUCUGGAACGUGCGGCAGCGCGUCCACAAACACAUGAAUGACUUUCACCACAACUCCUUCCACGUUUCUCGUGACUUCGACAGAGUCUCCAGCAUCGGACUGCGGAAGAGCAAGCAGGGCAGUGAGUAGAAGCAAGUAACCCUUCAAAACAAAGCUUUUACGUGAACAUGGGAAGGCCUUCAGGUGUGCCCCAAAAAAGGCAUCAAAAGAAUGUGAAUAAUCAUGGACAUAUUAGUAAACAUUCAGUGAGUACAGAUGACAUCCCAGGCACCGUAUGGCUCCGAGGGCAAUACAAGGUGUAGGAUGUGAGACUGGCCCCCAAAAUUUAUUGUCUGUAUGAACAAGAUACACGUGGGGAAAGACAGCAGCAGGAGGCGCUGAAUGACAGAUGCCAAGUAUAUGGCACUUAUAACAAGUCUGCUCUCAGGCCAACCGGGAGCCUUCACACAUCAAGCAGGAUUUGUGUUCUGCCCAGAGAAGAAUGGGUGUAAUCCACAUAAGCAGAGCACAGAAGGGGCCAAUAACUCCCUGUGGCUUUCGGAAUAAUGUUCAAACCAUUUAACUCUGGAAUUGAUACUCCAGAUAUGGUUGUUGAAUGAAAGAAUGAAUGAACCAAUGCCCUCUACUUCUCCCAGUCUCAACACUGUGCAGUCCACACAUCAAUCUACAUUACAUUCUUCACACACACUGUACAUACUCCUGGACCUUGCCAUUUCAUCAACCAAAUCCUGUCCUUCAUUCAUAUCAGUUCAAAUUCUACUUCUUAUGAACCUCUGUGGUCUUCCUGGCCCAUAGGUGUUGUUCUUUACCCCGAACUCUUCCAGCACUGACCUAUUCAACUGGCAUAUAUGACACUGAUGCAUACAGUUAUU